UACCUUUAAAAUUGAAAUAGGCUAUAUCCCCAUAAAAGUUGUUUGUGAUAUUAAUUCCUUCAUUAUCAAUUGACCCAAGUCCAACAAGUACCAGCUGUAUAUAGAUAAGAGAAAGAAGGAGUGAGAGCUUUCAAUUACAUGAAGCAAUGAAGGAAUUAGAUGGGGCUUUUAUUAUUGGCAGUGAAGAGAAUGAAUGUGUUAUUAUCUUUUGUAACAAAUUCCAACAAUGAUGGGUGGGUGGAAGUUGGGGCAAGGCAGUUAACACAGCUACCAUUUG
rnacentral:lncRNA from 1 species